CGCGGCGGUGUUCGAGGCGCGCGGCCGUUGGCAGCGCGUGAGGUGGGGCGGUGUCGUGCCUGUGUGAGGGCUGUGGCGGGCGCGGGCGGCGUCGAGGAUCGGCGCUGCCCUCGGUUCCAAGGGUCGAGCCGUGCUGCCCGCCCCACGGGAGCGUGCCGAGGCUGAGCCCCCCGGCUCGCGCCGUCCUUGGCUGGAGGGCGUUCACGGCCAAGACAGGCCCGGGAGGCACCCGGUCACAGGAGCGGUUUCUGAGGGGCUGAGUCCUGUGCCCGCCGCAGCAGGGGUACCGAGCAGAGCCCCUCAGUCUCCACUUCAGCUGCUUGCGUAAGGCAGCAGUAGGAUGCAAAACGCCGUCCUUGUGAAGCUGUGUGGUACUGCACACGCCCAGCAGGAGUGCGGGGAGCUAGACAAAGCCCAUAUCCACCAUGAUUUGGCAGUGGUAACAACAGAGGUUAUCGCUGGGAGGAGAUGGAGAUGCAGUGCUCUGCCUGAGGUGCGGAAUGCCACCUGAAAAAUGAGCUCUGUGAUUGCCACCCACCAGGGACAGAAUGCUUUGGGACACAGCAACAAGAACACAACAUUUAUACACACAAACUUCAUGAAGCUGAGGGAUAAGUUUCAUAUUGUUAACCAGGAGCUGACUACUACAACAGUGCAUCUGCCGGAACGUGAACGUACGUGUUUGUAUUGUGUGUGCAAACAAAUCCAGCUACACAGAACUGGCCAUUUGCCACUAACGUUACUAUAGUCAGCAACCAGCUUGAAUUUGCGCUCCUCACAGCCUGUGCAUUGUCCAAAAGGCAAAGAUGCAACAACAGCAGCAAUGUUUGAGCCCAGGGUACAGAAGGAACUCCGGAUAACGUGACAGAUGAGCAGAAGAAGGGUGGGAAGAAUAAAAAAGUGAUUUAAUGGUGCAUGACAUGAAUGGAGAAAGAUAUGAUAAAGGAAUGUAUUGUUAAAGAAGAGUAGAAAGCAGACACUCACCCCCCUCCAGCAAAGAUGAAAUCUAAGGAUAACAGGAAAUAAAGCAAUUAAGGUCAAGACUGGCAUCAAGCUUCUGUUCAGAUCAGCAUGCUCACCAGAAUCCAAGCUGCUAUACAAGAUCACCAAGCAGGUGUUAGACUUGAAAUGCAGCGCAGAGCCCAGUGAGUUAGCUCCCAGGUAACAUCCUAUCUUCUGGGAACACUUUGGCAAGCAGAAGCAGGAUUCCACAGUGGAACCAGCAGGGAUGUCUCAGGUUAGUCUUCUUCAGUGAUAAAUGUAAAUAGUAGCUUUUAACAUAGUGCCUUUACUCUGCUGUUCUGUGUCCUUGCGACUCUGCCCCUGAACCUCAGUACACCCACCUGUACAAGAGUAUACCUGUAUGUAUUACAGCUUUAUAAAUCCUUAAGAAAAGUACAUGAGGAAGGUCACUAAGGAAGUCUGAGACUUUCUGAUUCACAUUAACUAUCUUCUACAAUGUGAGCUGAAAAAUAAUUCCACUCUCCCUCAGGGCAUGCAGACAUGAAAACUGCACUGUGCAGAGUACCAUGAAGUACCCAGCUCUCCUGGGAAGUCUAGUGAGCUGGACAUCAUCUUUGCUACCUUUUAGGAAACAUCUCUAAAUUCU